AGUGGGGAAUUUUCCGCAAUGGGCGCAAGCCUGACGGAGCAAGACCGCGUGGGGGAGGAAGGCUCUUGGGUUGUAAACCCCUUUUCUCAGGGAAGAACACAAUGACGGUACCUGAGGAAUCAGCCUCGGCUAACUCCGUGCCAGCAGCCGCGGUAAUACGGAGGAGGCAAGCGUUAUCCGGAAUUAUUGGGCGUAAAGCGUCCGCAGGUGGUGGGGCAAGUCGGCGGUUAAAGACUGGGGCUUAACUCCAGAAAGGCCGUGGAAACUGCACCACUAGAGGGCAGUAGGGGUAGAGGGAAUUCCCGGUGUAGCGGUGAAAUGCGUAGAGAUCGGGAAGAACACCAGUGGCGAAAGCGCUCUACUGGACCGCAACUGACACUCAGGGACGAAAGCUAGGGGAGCGAAUGGGAUUA
rnacentral:rRNA from 1 species